rnacentral:rRNA from 1 species
AGAGUUUGAUCAUGGCUCAGGACGAACGCUGGCGGCGUGCCUAAUACAUGCAAGUCGAGCGGACGUUUUUGAAGCUUGCUUCAAAAACGUCAGCGGCGGACGGGUGAGUAACACGUGGGCAACCUACCUUAUCGACUGGGAUAACUCCGGGAAACCGGGGCUAAUACCGGAUAACAUCUAGCACCUCCUGGUGCCGGAUUAAAAGAGGGCUUCUUGCUCUCACGAUGAGAUGGGCCCGCGGCGCAUUAGCUAGUUGGAGAGGUAACGGCUCCCCAAGGCGACGAUGCGUAGCCGACCUGAGAGGGUGAUCGGCCACACUGGGACUGAGACACGGCCCAGACUCCUACGGGAGGCAGCAGUAGGGAAUCUUCCGCAAUGGACGAAAGUCUGACGGAGCAACGCCGCGUGAGUGAUGAAGGGUUUCGGCUCGUAAAGCUCUGUUAUGAGGGAAGAACACGUACCGUUCGAAUAGGGCGGUACCUUGACGGUACCUCAUCAGAAAGCCACGGCUAACUACGUGCCAGCAGCCGCGGUAAUACGUAGGUGGCAAGCGUUGUCCGGAAUUAUUGGGCGUAAAGCGCGCGCAGGCGGCCUUUUAAGUCUGAUGUGAAAUCUUGUGGCUCAACCGCAAGCGGCCAUUGGAAACUGGGAGGCUUGAGUACAGAAGAGGAGAGUGGAAUUCCACGUGUAGCGGUGAAAUGCGUAGAUAUGUGGAGGAACACCAGUGGCGAAGGCGACUCUCUGGUCUGUAACUGACGCUGAGGCGCGAAAGCGUGGGGAGCAAACAGGAUUAGAUACCCUGCUAGUCCACGCCGUAAACGAUGAGUGCUAGGUGUUUAGGGGUUUCGAUGCCCGUAGUGCCGAAGUUAACACA